rnacentral:miRNA from 1 species
UGGCCUUCUUCUUUGGUGUCC